rnacentral:rRNA from 1 species
GACGAACGCUGGCGGCGUGCUUAACACAUGCAAGUCGAACGGAAAGGCCCUGCUUUUGUGGGGUGCUCGAGUGGCGAACGGGUGAGUAACACGUGAGUAUCCUGCCCUUGACUUUGGGAUAACUUCAGGAAAAUGGGGCUAAUACCGCGUAGGAGCUCCUGCUGCAUGGUGGGGGUUGGAAAGUUUCGGCGGUUUGGGAUGGACUCGCGGCUUCUCAGCUUGUUGGUGGGGUAGUGGCUGACCAAGGCUUUGACGGGUAGCCGGCCUGAGAGGGUGACCGGCGACAUUGGUCCUGAGGUACGGCCCAGACGCCUACGGGAGGCAGCAGGGGGGAAUAUUGCACAAUGGGCGGAAGCGUGAGGUAGCAACGCCGCGUGCGGGAUGAUGGCUUUCGGGUUGUAAACCGCUUUCGCCGGUGACGAAGCGUGAGUGACGGUAAUGGGUAAAGAAGCACCGGCUAACUACGUG